AGUCACAUCCGCCGUGCUCAAGCGCUCCCACAGACCGGCCUCCUGCACCAAGAGGCUCCCAGGGGGUGCGGGGGGAAAAAAGCCGUUUUAAUACCUUCAAGAUUUCACCCACCCUCUUCCUUCCGAUGCCCGGAGGAAGGAAAUAGUGAGCAGCAAAGACUUGUG